GUAUGACAAGAAAGAAGAAUGAUCAGACAGUCACUGAACAUUUCUCAAGUAUGUACCAGUCACUGGGUUAAGUGCUUGGGAUUAAAAAAUGAAAAACAGUCCCUGCUUUCAAGAAGCUUACAAUCUCAUACCGGAAUUGGAAUUAGUACAGGAUCUUGGCAGGAAUUCACAGAAUACACUUACUUGGAAGAAUGGUUGUAAAGAUAAUACUCAGAAAAAGAAGUGAAGCCACAGGCUCUGGCUGUCAAUGUACCAUUGCAAAGAAGACUAUUGGUGAUGAACAAUGAACACUAAAGAUGCUAACAAAAGGAAAUAAAUAACUCAUAACUACAACUGAAACUCAGGAGGGUUACUAAUCACUGCAACAGGAUGAAAGAAGGAUGUAACUUUUUCAAAAGGAAAUAUUCAGGUCUCAAAGAAGCAUUUCUUCUUAGCACUUAAAAGGAAGAGUCGUUUGGUUUUCUCAACAGUUUCCCAAAUCUCCAGGGUGGUCUUUCAACUCAGAGAGAGAGAGAGAAGGAUUCUUUUUAAUACUAAUGAAAAGCUAAGCUUUCCCCAAACUUAAAUAUGAUUUUAAAGUUGUCUUUGAGCUAUGAGUUCUUAGCAUAUAUUUUUGAUGUGCUCUCACGCUGUUACCUUUCCCACUGGAAUAUGUUUUGACGUUCUCUCCAGAGAUAUGAAAAAACCCUGCCCCCAGACCCCUGAGCUCUUGAGAUGGCAGACACUGGAAGAGCUGUUUCUUGAGCAGGGGUGAAGAUUCACUCUUAAAGACACAGGAGUAUGAGCAAGCUGGGCCACUCUUUGACAGAAGGUCAAUAAAUACCUGGGAAAACCUUACCAGGAAGUACUAAUAAGCUCAAGAAGAAACUUUGUAUGUAGUAGCUAUCUUGACCAAAAUUUGUUAAGAACUAUUUUAAUUAUUUGCAAGCCACUAGCCAAAGAACAACUUAUACUUACUCCUCUUAUUUUUCUUCUGACAUUAAGAAGAAUUCAUUAUUUCCAACUCAUCAGAGUUGUACCAAGUAUGUAAGCAAUUCUAGAUGUUGGUUUUUUGAAACACUCUAUGAAAAAAAUAUAUAUUUCUGCCACAUUAAAAGAGUAAUACCAGAUGUUGUGUUGAAUUAUGAAUUACCUGCUGUCAAUGAAAUAGUUUUCAAUCAGACUAAAGCAAAAAAAAGUUUAAAAGUAUGGAUUUCUUAUUUAAGCAGAGUCCAUUAAUUGUGGCCCAUAUGUGGUGUAGACUUACUUUUCAGAUCUAAAUUCCUGGCUCCUGCUGUGCUUUGGGUGGUGAUUUUGGUAUCAAUCUUGACUGUGUGGAGAUUGUUGGUGUCCCUAGAUAUCAUCACAUUGUGCCACUGAUUGUCGUUGAGUGGCUUAUUUGAGCUGCCUUUGAUGAGGUUAGCCCCAUUUCCCAAGUCAAAUACAUAAUGCAAGUACCUAAGGAAAGAAAAGAGAGGUGAGCAAUGGAAGGGCUUUCUGACUUGGAUCAAGUAAGAUAUCUACAUGGACAAGUAUAGUUGAAGACAUUUUUAAUUGCCUAGAGAAGAAACCAUAUGAAAAUAAUGCUUAUAAAAAGAUAAAAAAUAGCACAUUUUUGUAACAGGAGAGAUGGAUCAUUGUGCAUCCAGUGGAAUUUAAAGAAGCUUGAUGGAAAGAACUAUUUUUCAUUUUUAUCAUUGUAUUCUCAAUACCUCAAAGUGCAUGAUUAUUGAAUAAUAAAUGCUUGCCAAAUGGGA